rnacentral:tmRNA from 1 species
AAACUAAACAUGUAGUGCUUUUGAUUUGAUUUUCUGCGGACAUGGGUUCGAUUCCCAUCGCCUCCACCA